GUCUUUGGCAAGACAAAAAGGGGCAUUUGGCAGAGCCGUGGGCUCACAUGCAUAUCAACAAGGGCCACUUUGUCGGCUGGAAACCACUUGACAGUCCUGUGCUGGCUCUACUGCUAGCAGAGGACAUCGAGUGCCUUGCCAUAGGACGCAGAGUAGAACAGGUUGGACAAAUCUCCUGGCCAAGCUUUGCAGCAUGUUCCUGGGUCUGUGGAUGCGUCAAGGUGGACUUGGUCAGCCAAUAGAUCUUGAAAAUAUUUUCUCAGCCCUGGUGCAAUGAAGACAUCUCAGAACUACAAAAACCACUCAGCUCCCUGCUUGUGGCCUGGGAAAGCAGUAGAGAAUGGCCCAAAGCUUUGAGACCCUGCACCUGUGUGGGAGACCCAGAAGAGGCUCCUGGUUCCUGGCUUAAGAUCAACUCAGUUCCAGUUGUUAUGGCUACUUGGGGAGUGACUCUGCAGAUGGAAGAUCUUUCUCUCUGUCUCUCCUUCUCUCUGUAAAUCUUUCUUCCCAAUGAAAAUAAAUAAAUCUUUAAAAAAUUAAAAACAUUUUUAAAAGGACUCUUAAAAAAAUUUCAGUCAUUCCUAUGGUAGUCAGAUUCAUGGAUGCAGAAAGUAGGGUGAUGGUUGCCAAGGCCUAACAGCAGAGGGCAACGAGAAGUUAAUGUUUAAGGGGCAC